rnacentral:lncRNA from 1 species
CCAGCCCUAUCCCCACAAAUCCAAUCUGGCCCAACCCUUUAAUAUCCCAAACGAUACUAUUUUAGUAACAAUUAAUCCUGACCGUUCAUUUAAUCUGAUCCUACGGCUAGGAACUCCUCAUCCCCAUCCCUUAUAAUAGUCCAAAUCCACCGCCAAACCUUAAACACCCUUCCAUUUCAUUCAUCUCUUUCAAAUUUCUAACCAUAGCAGCCUUCCUUUCCUAAGAUACCCCACCCGGUAACACAAUACCCAAACAUACCCAAACUUUUACUAUACAAUAUUCAACCUCCCCUCACCACUAAUUCACUUACAGAUUUCCCUAAAAAACCUACUAUUUCGUGAUUUUUAGAUCUUAGAUUCGCAGAACCUAUUUAGCUCAUAUCAUUGAAUUUCUCUCCAAGCUUAAGUCUGACAAAUUCGAAAUCGACAUCAAUUGAUUGCUCUUGAUAAGAGCAGUCAAUUGAUGAUGAGUUCAAUUCCCAGUAUGACCGAUGAAUUUAAAACAGAGGCCUCUUUAGGUAAUUCCUUCAUCGUUUUCUUUAUUUCUCCUUCUCCCAUUUCUAUAAAAUUUCCAAAUUGUGAUUAAUUGUUAAAAUAUUUAUUAUCAAAAUCACUUUAAUUUGAAAAUUGAAAAUAUGAUUGGUUGCAUUUUUCUAUUCUCUAUUCGAUCUUCUGAUUUCUUUUAUCUCGUUUGGGCUGGUUUGCUAUAGGCCAUUUGGCCAUGGAUGCCCGACCCAGUCCCAAUCUAGUUAAUGAAGGGAAUAGAAAGGGCCAUUUUGGUAAAAUAAAGAAGGGGUCUGGGUUUGGAAAGAAUUUAAAUAAAAGAAAAGGAGAAUAAGGGAAAAGAAUUAAUAAUAGAAGGGGAGCUGACAUUUUCAGUUACAAAUAUUCCCCUCCCCUCUCUCAUUCCCCCUGAUUUCAUGCUGCCGGAUUCCCUUUCUCACAGGCUCUCUUUCAUAUAUAUAUAUAUAUAUAUAUAUAUAUAUAUACACACACACACACACACACACAUUCAUUUGUGCAUUGAAAAGGGGAUCUCACACUUGUCUGUUUUAGUCAUUCUCUUAUCUACAUACUCUGCAUUUUUAUAAUAGAGAACUGAUUCUGAAAAAUCAAUUCUUAUCAUUGAUCACUCAUAGGUCUAGGAAAUUAAAUUUCAAGAAGAAAAAAACACAAAAAGAGAGGAGAAAAACUUAGGAAAGAGAUCAUAAAGAAGGUGAUAGGAAAUAUUUUUUGGAUUUUAUAAGCUAUUGAAGUUGAUUUCGUUUAUUUGUUGAUUACUGUUGUUAAUUGCUCCUAUUCGAUCAAGCUGGUUUUGCUUUCGAAAUUUGAUCAUAUUUAGCCAUUUCCUUCUGUAUCUUUGUUGCUUGGUAUGUAAAUAUCCACUUACCAUUCUCCAUUUGCUGUUAUGAGCAAAACCUGAGGUGUUCAUGUCACAUUUAAGCUUAGCUUUUUUCAUGAAUUUAUAAUGCUUAAUUGCCAUACUUGUGCUAUUUGCUACUCUCUAAUUGUUGAAGCAUCGUACUGAUAGAUGUCAUUUGUUAUAAAGUCUCUCAAUUCCCCUUUUACAUAUGAAAUCCUAAAACAAAAGAAAGAAAGUUUCAAAAUUAUUUGGAUCCUCACUUGUUGCUUCUAUUGUUUUGAUAUGUGGUGGACAAGAUGCUGAUUUGCAAAGCAGAUUUGUAGAUGCCUUUGUAAAUUGAAGACUUGCUGACAGAUUGCAAAGCCACAGGAGCCCAGAUCAUGUAUCUGUUUUGAAAGCUAGUGUGAUCAUAACCUUAAUCUAGAAUUUGCUAGAAAAUCUUGUAAUUCAAGUUGUGUUAGAUAAUGUGUAUGAUUCACUAUUAAUUACCUUGUAAAUCACGUUAAGUUGAUAACUUACAUGAUUCAUGAUUAAUUAUUUUGGAAAUCGAAUUAAGUCCAACAAUCUAUAUGAUUCAUGAUUAAUUUCACACUUUGUGUUUUACUGCAUACCACGUUAGUGUCAGCGUUGUCCCAUAGAUGAAAUCCAAUUGUUGGGCUCAUUUUUUUCGAAGGCCCACGUCCCUAUUGGAAUUCCUAAAAGCUAAAACUUAGUGUGUUGUAAAAAGAAACCAAGGAGCCUUUUUCGUCUUAGUUCAAAUUCCC